rnacentral:lncRNA from 1 species
UUUUUUAAUCUUGAAAAUGGCAGAGCUGCUUCUAGAAUCUCUUGAAUAAGCCAAAUCCACAAUAGGAGCAAUGCUGCCUUCCCUCUAUGAAUAAAUAUUCAUUUUUCACCGAAGGAAGGGGUGUGGUUGCAGGCAUUGUGGAGAAGUGGUGCUCAUUUUCCUUUUGCGCUGAUGCACAGUGCCUGCUGCAAUUGCCAAAAACAGUCUGCUAACAUAACAAUAUAGCAGUUACAGAAUUUCAACAAAAUCAGUGCUGGCUUUCUGUGAACAUACCCAACUGUUGACACACAUUCUAAAGCAAUGCUGUGAUUGUACAUCUAGCAAAAGUGGUGAUGAUACAGUGCUAGAAGAUGUGACAUCUACACACUUAGGCUUGCUUUUGUAUAGUGCUCAAUUUAUCAAGCUAAAAUUGAGUGCUUAUUCAGAGCCAGGCAUUGAGCUACAUGUUGUAUGAAGGAAGAAACUUUUCUGUGUUCUUGAAGAGUUUAGCUGGUGAGAAGAAUUACAUGAAAAAUGCAAAAUAAUUAUAUGACAAAAUGUAUCCAGUAACAUGGAGAGAUGCAUCAAAUGUGUUUGGGAUGAAAAAACAUUUUUUUUCACGACAGCAAAGAGGUAGAAUGACAUCAGCAAAAUUUCCUAUGGAAUUAAAGCAACAUCAACAGCCAGAAACUAACUAAAAUAACUGUAUAGGAACUCUGGAAAGCAAUCAGAGAUCUACAGCAACCACACGAACACCCAAUCAAGAGAAAGCCACAUCCAAAAUGGUAGGAAAUUCUUCGGCAGUGUUUCUCAUCUUUGUCCCACCCUCUUCUCCACACACUGCAGCACGUAUCUUGGAAGAAAUGGUGGUUUAGUCACCAGUUCCCUUCUGUGAACCAGAAAGAGUGGAAAGAACUGAAUUUGUAACAUUAUAAUCCACCUGUAGACUGCCAGAAGAAUUGUUCUCUGCAUCACCUACAUUGAGUCGAGACAGACCCCCCAAAAAAGAAGCUUGGAUCUCAGGCAAGAGGAAGGCACAGGAAGCAGCGGGUAUAGCUCACAGAAGUUAGAACAGAGCUGCAGACAUGCAGAUUGCUGAGUCAAGAAAUUACUGAUUGAGGUUGUUCCCGUUGUGGCUCAGUGAUUAAUGUACCUGACAUGAGGGAGUUCCUUUUGUGGCUCAGUGAUUAAUGUACCUGACUAGCAUCCAUGAGGAUGCGGGUUCAAUCCCUGGACUCACUCAGUGGGUUAUGGAUCUGGUGUGGCCGUGAGCCAUGGUGUAGGUCGCAGACAAGGCUCAGGUCCUGCAUUGCUGUGGUUCUGGCGAAAGCUGGAGGCUACAGCUCCGAUUCGACCUUUAGCCUGGGAACCUCCAUAUGCCGCUGGUGCGGCCCUAAAAGACAAAGAGACAAAACAAAAAAAAGGACUGAUUAUAAAUGCAAUAGACACCUAAAGCUCCAAGAAGAAGCAGAGGUGAGACUCUUAAAGAAAGUGGAACAUUUAAAAAUAGUUAUAUAGGAGGAGUUCUGUGGCACAGCAGGUUAAGGAUCAGGCAUUGUCACUGCCAUGGGUUGCUUCUUUGCCAUGGUUUCAAUCCCUGGCCCAAGAAAUUCCACAUGCAGUGUAUGCACCAAUAAAUAAAUAAAUAAAUAAAUACAUAAAAAAUUAAAAAGAAAAGCUGAUCUCUCUCUCUCUCUCACACACACACACACACACACACACACACACAGAGCAAGGGAUAUAGAUAGCCAGAAAAGGCUAGGGAAGAACUUAAGCCUUCAUAUCAGGCUGAUGAGUGAAUGUCUUCCCCUGCUGGAGCAAGUCUGCAAAGACUGAGAAAGAUAACUGUUCUUUUUACAAGUACUUGUUUUUCAAUUAAAAAAAAAAAAAUUACAUGGCAUACAAAGAAACAAGAAUGCAUGACACAUUAAAAGGAACAAAUGUUCCCAUUUGGCGCAGUGGAAAUGAAUCCAACUAGUAUGCAUGAGGAUGAUGAUUCAAUCCUUGGCCUCCCUCAGUGGUCAGGGAUCUGGCAUUGCCGUGAGCUGUGGUGUAAGGCACAGAUGUGGCUUGGAUCCUACUUUGCUGCAGCUGUGGCAUAGGCCGGGAGCUGUAGCUCUGAUUCAGUCCCUAGCUACAGCUCUGAUUAGACCCCUAGCCUGGGAACCUCCAAAUGUGGCGGGUACAGUCCUAGAAAAGACAAAAAGAUAAUAAUAAUAAUAAUAGUAAUAAUUUGGGAUGAGCAUGAAAAAUGGGUCAGGUAGCUCACCCAGUCUUCCUCUGAUGGAGAGGAUGAAUGACAAUUUUGGUGGUAUCCCUUGGCCAGAAUGAAUACCAGGAUCUGAGUGUAAAACCACAUAGGAGAGCAUCAUGGGCCAGUUUCUAGAGAAGUUGAUAUUCAUAAAGGUCCACAGAAAUAAAAAAAAAUAAAGGCAAGGCAUGUGUGGGGCUUUCACAUGGAGACCUAUGACACAGAUGGCAAGGAUUCUCAGUACACCAGGAGUGUAGUGGGGAGAUCAUGAGCCAUGGUUGUAGCCUAAGUCAUGGGAACACCAGAUCCAUAUAAGAAACCAAGGCUGGAAAUAUCAAAGUCUCAAGGACAGAGAACAGAGUGGGUUCAUGGACAAAGAGCAUCAUGAAGGCAUUAAGAUAAACAAUUUUAUUGAGCUGUGAAACAGCAAAAAUAAUAAUGCCUAAGGGUUUAACAUAUAUGAACAUAAAGCCCAAGUAGUUAUAUUGUAUUAUUUCCCCUUUUCUCCAUGGGUAACUUGCCCACAGAAGAAAUGUUUUCAUCCAAAAACUUGCAUUCAAGCCCUUGACUACUUACGGUAUAUAGAGAAAAAUAGUUAAGUACAAUAGAGGAUGGGUCUUCUUAGGUCACACUUUAAAGGGCUGACCUUCUAAUUGUGUGUAUAGGGCACUGUGGAACCUUGAACGUUUUUUUGUAGGCAAGAAAUGAGAAUAGAAAUUGCUCUGGUAAGAUGAUUUGGCAACACAAAUAUAAAAUGAGUUGGUGGGAGUUCCCAUUGUGGCUCAGUGGGUUAAGAACCCAACUAGUAUCCAUGAUGAUGCAAGUUCAAUCCCUGGCCUCGCUCAGUGGGUUAAGGAUCUGAUGUUGCCGUGAGCUGUUGUGUGGGUUGCAGAU